GACGAACGCUGGCGGCGUGCCUAAUACAUGCAAGUCGUGCGAGACCUUCGGGUCUAGCGGCGGACGGGUGAGUAACACGUGGGUAACCUGCCUGAUCGACUGGGAUAACGCUUGGAAACGAGUGCUAAUACCGGAUAAUCUCUUGGAUCGCAUGGUUCGAGAGUAAAAGGAGCUUUUGCUUCACGAUCAGAUGGACCCGCGGCGCAUUAGCUAGUUGGUGAGGUAACGGCUCACCAAGGCGACGAUGCGUAGCCGACCUGAGAGGGUGACCGGCCACACUGGGACUGAGACACGGCCCAGACUCCUACGGGAGGCAGCAGUAGGGAAUCUUCCGCAAUGGGCGCAAGCCUGACGGAGCAACGCCGCGUGAGUGAUGAAGGCCUCGGUUGUAAACUACUGUCUUCUGUGAAGACCAUCCUGUGCAGGAAAGCUCAGGACCUGACGGUA
rnacentral:rRNA from 1 species